rnacentral:rRNA from 1 species
GACGUACUUGUACUGAUUGAGAUUUUAACACGAAGUGAGUGGCGAACGGGUGAGUAACACGUGGGUAACCUGCCCAGAAGUAGGGGAUAACACCUGGAAACAGAUGCUAAUACCGUAUAACAGAGAAAACCGCAUGGUUUUCUUUUAAAAGAUGGCUCUGCUAUCACUUCUGGAUGGACCCGCGGCGUAUUAGCUAGUUGGUGAGGUAAAGGCUCACCAAGGCAGUGAUACGUAGCCGACCUGAGAGGGUAAUCGGCCACAUUGGGACUGAGACACGGCCCAGACUCCUACGGGAGGCAGCAGUAGGGAAUCUUCCACAAUGGACGCAAGUCUGAUGGAGCAACGCCGCGUGAGUGAAGAAGGGUUUCGGCUCGUAAAGCUCUGUUGUUAAAGAAGAACGUGGGUAAGAGUAACUGUUUACCCAGUGACGGUAUUUAACCAGAAAGCCACGGCUAACUACGUGCCAGCAGCCGCGGUAAUACGUAGGUGGCAAGCGUUAUCCGGAUUUAUUGGGCGUAAAGCGAGCGCAGGCGGUCUUUUAAGUCUAAUGUGAAAGCCUUCGGCUCAACCGAAGAAGUGCAUUGGAAACUGGGAGACUUGAGUGCAGAAGAGGACAGUGGAACUCCAUGUGUAGCGGUGAAAUGCGUAGAUAUAUGGAAGAACACCAGUGGCGAAGGCGGCUGUCUGGUCUGCAACUGACGCUGAG